rnacentral:rRNA from 1 species
CAGUAGCCGCGGGAAUACGUAGGUGGCAAGCGUUGUCCGGAAUUAUUGGGCGUAAAGCGCGCGCAGGUGGUUUAAUAAGUCUGAUGUGAAAGCCCACGGCUCAACUGUGGAGGGUCAUUGGAAACUGUUAAACUUGAGUGCAGGAGAGAGAAGUGGAAUUCCUAGUGUAGCGGUGAAAUGCGUAGAGAUUAGGAGGAACACCAGUGGCGAAGGCGGCUUUUUGGCCUGUAACUGACACUGAGGCGCGAAAGCGUGGGGAGCAAACAGGAUUAGAUACCCGCGUAGUCCCUGUCUCUUAUAC